UACGUAGGGGGCUAGCGUUGUCCGGAAUCAUUGGGCGUAAAGAGCGUGUAGGCGGCUUGGUAGGUCCGCUGUGAAAACUCGAGGCUCAACCUCGAGAUGUCGGCGGAAACCACUUGGCUAGAGUCCGGAAGAGGAGAGUGGAAUUCCUGGUGUAGCGGUGAAAUGCGCAGAUAUCAGGAAGAACACCUAUGGCGAAGGCAGCUCUCUGGGACGGUACUGACGCUGAGACGCGAAAAGCGUGGGGAGCGAACAGG
rnacentral:rRNA from 1 species